rnacentral:tRNA from 2 species
GCGGAAGUGGCGGAACUGGUAGACGCGCUGGGUUCAGGGUCCAGUGGCUUUUAAGCCGUAGGGGUUCAAAUCCCCUCUUCCGCA